AUUGAACGCUGGCGGCAUGCCUUACACAUGCAAGUCGAACGGCAGCACGGGUGCUUGCACCUGGUGGCGAGUGGCGAACGGGUGAGUAACAUAUCGGAACGUACCUUAUUGUGGGGGAUAACGCAGCGAAAGCUGUGCUAAUACCGCAUAAUCCCUAAGGGGGAAAGCGGGGGACCGUAAGGCCUCGCGCAAUUAGAGCGGCCGAUACCUGAUUAGCUAGUUGGUGAGGUAAAGGCUCACCAAGGCAACGAUCCGUAGCUGGUCUGAGAGGACGAUAAGCCACACGGGGACUGAGACACGGCCCAGACUCCUACGGGAGGCAGCAGUGGGGAGUUUUGGACAAUGGGGGCAACCCUGAUCCAGCAAUGCCGCGUGAGUGAAGAAGGCCUUCGGGUUGUAAAGCUCUUUUGUCAGGGAAGAAACAGCAGCUCUAACACAGUAUGCGAAUGACGGUACCUGAAGAAUAAGCACCGGCUAACUACGUGCCAGCCGCCGCCGUAA
rnacentral:rRNA from 1 species